UUGGUUCGGAGUCUGAUGUAAGUCCAGCGAUUGGCAUUCGGUUUCCAUGUUUGCCUGUGUGUCUGGAGUUGGAUGUAAGACCAACGAUUGGCAUUCCGAUUCCUGUUUGUGUUUUGUUUGGCGUGCGUUAGCCGAACUACGAGUGCUCUGAUUCUUUCUCUGGUUAGAGAAGAUACGUAUGCAUAGGAUGCGAUAUCCUAG
rnacentral:lncRNA from 1 species